rnacentral:rRNA from 1 species
GCAGCAGUGGGGAUAUUGCACAAUGGGCGCAAGCCUGAUGCAGCGACGCCGCGUGAGGGAUGACGGCCUUCGGGUUGUAAACCUCUUUCAGUAGGGAAGAAGCGAAAGUGACGGUACCUGCAGAAGAAGCGCCGGCUAACUACGUGCCAGCAGCCGCGGUAAUACGUAGGGCGCAAGCGUUAUCCGGAAUUAUUGGGCGUAAAGAGCUCGUAGGCGGUUUGUCGCGUCUGCCGUGAAAGUCCGGGGCUCAACUCCGGAUCUGCGGUGGGUACGGGCAGACUAGAGUGAUGUAGGGGAGACUGGAAUUCCUGGUGUAGCGGUGAAAUGCGCAGAUAUCAGGAGGAACACCGAUGGCGAAGGCAGGUCUCUGGGCAUUAACUGACGCUGAGGAGCGAAAGCAUGGGGAGCGAACAGGAUUAGAUACCCUGGUAGUCCAUGCCGUAAACGUUGGGCACUAGGUGUGGGGGACAUUCCACGUUUUCCGCGCCGUAGCUAACGCAUUAAGUGCCCCGCCUGGGGAGUACGGCCGCAAGGCUAAAACUCAAAGGAAUUGACGGGGCC